GGUGUCAGCAGCCGCGGUAAAACGUAGGAGGCGAGCGUUAUCCGGAUUUACUGGGUGUAAAGCGCGUGCAGGCGGUUGACUAAGUUGGAUGUGAAAGCUCCUGGCUCAACUGGGAGAGGUCGUUCAAGACUGGUCGACUGGAGAGCAGUAAGGGAAGGUGGAAUUCCGGGUGUAGUGGUGAAAUGCGUAGAUAUCCGGAGGAACACCAGUGGCGAAAGCGGCCUUCUGGACUGCAUCUGACGCUCAGACGCGAAAGCUAGGGGAGCAAACGGGAUUAGAGACCCCGGUAGUCCUAGCUGUAAACGAUGUGAACUUGGCGCUGGUUGGGUAAAACCGAUCAGUGCCGGAGCAAACGCGAUAAGUUCACCACCUGAGGACUACGGCCGCAAGGUUAAAACUCAAAGGAAUUGGCGGGGGAC
rnacentral:rRNA from 1 species